CUGGCUCAGAACGAACGCUGGCGGCAUGCCUAACACAUGCAAGUCGAACGAACCCUUCGGGGUUAGUGGCGCACGGGUGCGUAACGCGUGGGAAUCUGCCCCCUUGCUUUCGGAAUAACAGUUAGAAAUGACUGCUAAUACCGGAUGAUGACCUUCGGUCCAAAGAUUUAUCGGCAAGGGAUGAGCCCGCGUAGGAUUAGGUAGUUGGUGGGGUAAAGGCCUACCAAGCCGACGAUCCCUUAGCUGGUCUGAGAGGAUGAUCAGCCACACUGGGACUGAGACACGGCCCAGAUUCCUACGGGAGGCAGCAGUGGGGAAUAUUGGACAAUGGGCGCAAGCCUGAUCCAGCAAUGCCGCGUGAGUGAUGAAGGCCUUCGGGUCGUAAAGCUCNGUCGCAGGGGAAUAACACAAUGAAUGUAACCCUGUAAGAAAGGAUCGGCUAACUUCGUGCCAGCAGCCGCGGUAAGACGAGGGAUCCUAGCGUUGUUCGGAAUCAUUGGGCGUAAAGCGGGUGCAGGUGGCUUUGUAAGUCAGGUGUGAAAGCCCAGGGCUUAACCCUGGAAGUGUAUUUGAUACUGCGAAGCUUGAGUGUAGGAGAGGUUACUAGAAUUCUUGGUGUAGUGGUGAAAUACGUAGAUAUCAAGAGGAAUACCGGUGGCGAAGGCGGGUAACUGGCCUAACACUGACACUCAGACCCGAAAGCGUGGGAUCAAACAGGAUUAGAUACCCUGGUAGUCCACGCCGUAAACGAU
rnacentral:rRNA from 1 species